rnacentral:rRNA from 1 species
AUGGUGUUCCUGCAGCGCAGCAACCCGCGAAAGCGGCCACCGCCGGCGCCCACAGCACCCGGGCCGCCGCCGCCGCCGCCGCCGUUAGCGACAUCGUCCGUGCCCACCCCGGCCGAACCCUCCGCCGUCGACGCGGCAGCCGCGCUCCUUGCGGACGCUGGCUGCACGCUCCUCGUCCCGCCGCACCUGCCCCCUUCCCUCCCGUCCGCGCCCACCUUCGUACCCCGCCUCACCCGCGCGCUCGCCGCGGACCCCGCGGCAGACCUCCCCGCGCGCCUCCUCGCGGGGCUCGCCGCCUUCGCCGAGUCCCCCACGCGGCUGCGCCAGCUACUCCUGCCCACCUCCCCGCGGUCGCAGAGCCUGGCGCGGGUGCUCCUCUCCGUCCCCGCGCUCCAGCCCGGUCUCCUGGGGCUCCUCCUCGACAAGCUGCCCGAGCACUUCGACGACGACGCGCUCGAUGGGGUGCCUCUGCAGGACGACGUGGGGAGGCUUAUCGUUGCUCAGUUCCGCUGGCUUGAUUUCCUUGUCGAUGCCGACACCUUUGUCACCAAGCUUGUGGAGGUGCUCUCGGUAGCACCACCCCGGCUCAAGAAGGAGAUCAUCGGUUCGAUCCCGGAGAUUGUGGGCGACCAGAGCCAUGCUGCUGUGGUCUCCGCUCUGGAGAAGUUGCUGCAGGAGGACUGCCAAGUCGUGGUUGCUGUGCUCGACACUUUGUCAAACCUUAACCUCGAUGCGCUGCUGCAGGAGCAGGCGGUUACAGUUGCAAUAUCAUGCAUCCGGACGAUUCAUGCAGAUCAGAUGCCACACUUACUCAGGUUCUUGUUGCUGUCUGCCACACCAGCCAAUGUUGGCAGGAUUAUAUCGCAGAUCCGCGAGCAACUGAAGUUUGUUGGUGUGGUGGAUCCACGUGCUGCUCGGAGCAAGAAGCUGAAAGGGAAGGCAUCAGCAACUAGCACUGAUGGAGCAAUCCUUGAUGCCUUGAGAUCAGGCCUCCGGUUUAAGAAUAUGCUUUGUGAGGCCUUCUUGAAGGAGUUGAAAUUAGUUGACCAUGCAAGGGAUCACAAAGUGAUUGAUGUUUGGCUCAUCAUGCUCAUAUAUGCCAAUGGGGGUGCUCUGCAGAAAAGUGCUGAGAAAAUACUGAAAUCCAAGAUCUUACAAGGAUAUAUCCGGGAGACAUUGUUUCACCAAUGCAUUCAUGGAAAUACUGAAUUAGUAAAGGACCAUUUUAUGUCAUAUCUCUCAGUGAGCGAUUACCUAUUGGCUUGCAAGGAAGACAAGGCUAGAGCAUUUGCUACCUAUUUGUUCACGGCUUUGUUUGAAGAAUUCAGUGAUACUUUCUCCAGGCAAGAGCUCGUAGGCUCAUUGAUAACUCAUAUAGGUUCUGGGAUCAGUUACGAAGUUUCUUCUGCUUUGGAUAUUAUGAUUUCUUUGACAUCCAACAACUCUGAGGAACUCAUCCCUAUAGCUUCACAUAUAACUGGUAUUUUAGAUUAUCUGGAGAGUUUUCAUGAAGAUAAUCUUCGAAAGGUUUACGAGAUCUUCUGUCAAUUGGCACUGGCUGCUGGCUUCAAUACUAGUUCAGGUGGCUCUUCUGUUGCUAAUGAACUUCUUAUGGUAGUGAGAAAACAGGUUAGCAAUCCAGAUAUGAAGUAUAAGAGAAUGGGAAUAAUUGGGGCUUUAAGGAUAGUUUCAGCUAUUGCAGAUGCAAAUGCUGCUGUGAACUACUCAUCAUCUCAGCAACCAAAUUGUGAGGAGGCCCUGGGACUGCUAAAUAUGACUGUUAACUCCUGCAAAUUUGUGACGUUGCCCUUAAUUCUUCUCUAUGAUGAAUUAUCUGCUUUAUUUGAGAGCAAUGUUCUUCAUUCUGCAAUUAUUGAGUGGGUUGGAGAACAUGUUGCAGAAUUUGAUACCCUUUUUCUUGCUGAUCUUGAGGAUGGCCAGCUAUCAGAAAAAUAUCUCUGCGAGAGCAUUGAAGGGGAAUUAUGGAUGAACUUGGAUGGAAAUAUCUCCCCAGUAUGCGUAAAUAUUUUGCCACUAGUGUCCACCUCGCAACAAAGGUCUCAAGCCUGCUUGCAGAUCCUUCCUUCCCAAUUUCUACUACUAACUACCAUUGAACGUUCAGGAAGUGAAGGCUCACUUGGUGGAAUAAAUGCACUCCUUGGCUGUCCUUUGCAUCUUCCCUCUACAAAGAACCUGGAUGAAUCUAGAUGGGGAAGCUUGUCAGCACUGGAGAAAAAAACAGUGUGUCACUCACUGUACUUUGCGAUAAACUGGAUUAGGGAGUUGCUUAAUGCUUUCAGCACACAAGUUGCGGCCAGAGUUGUUAAUGUGUCACAAAGAGUAAGGGAUGAGACAGCAGUUAAACUUUUGAAGCGUCUGAGAAAUCUAAUAUUACUCGAGAUUUUGUUAAACACCCUUCUUAAAAUUUAUCCUCUAUCUCUACCUGAGCUGCGAUAUCUUGGGAAUUAUUCUGGGUCAACUAGCAGCAGCAAGUUCAACACUGGGAAGAAAAUGGAGGAAGAUAACAUGGAGGGCCCAUCUUCCAACAAAAGACAAAAGGGCCGCAAGGACAAAGCAGCUUCAGAUAAAUUGAAUUCUGAUGAGAAGCUCAAGCAAUCUACGAUACUGGAUGCUUUCAAAAGAGCAGGUGUAACGAUCACCCAAGAAACAAAGAAAGCAUCUUCACGACCAUUGCCAAGUGGAAUGACGUCGAAGGAUGUUGAAAGCGAGGCUAAUAAUCCUGGUGAGCUUGGGCAUAUAGAUUUGAUGGCAGCACCAGUUCAGCUGGAUAUGCAAAGAUUUAAAUUCAGAACACUCCAUGUGAAUUGUUUAUCCUUAUUAAAGUAUUCAGAGUUUCAAGAUUCAACUUAUCCAUAUCAUGAAUCUGAGCUGCCUUUAUAUCUCUAUCUUCUACGUGAUCUAAACAACAAACUAGAUCAUGUAAACCCAUCAAGCAAGCCAUUUUUUAAUAAUUCUCAAGCAAAAUCCACUCGCGCUCAUUGCCAAAAGAGCACAGAAGAUCUUAGCAAAAUCCAGCCACUAUUCUCGAGUCUACGGAAGCAUCUAGAUGGAUCAAUUUCAAUGAUGAAAGACAGAUCAGAUAGCAGCCCAGACAACUGGAGUUCACAUUCGGAUUCAGCAGGAAACCCGCACAUACCAUACGUGAUGGUCUCCAAGUCUUCAAUAGCCACUUCCGUAUUUAAGGAGGUUCUUGGCUGCUACAGGAAGCUACUUGGCACGCCAGAUCUAUUGAAUCAAGCAAAUAUGUCAGCUCUGAAGGAGCUGCUACAGACUUUCCAGCCAACUGAAAAUUUCGAUGAUGAUCUUUCUGAGUUCCGUCCACCUCUGGUCCCUAGUAAUGUUGAUUAUCUGUACUGUGGGGCAUUUAAAAUGUUUGAGGCUAUUAUGGAUGCAGUGUGUUUGUUCUCACACAUUUUGGCCUCUGACGUGCUAAUUACCAUGCAAUCUAUUUUAAAUUCCAUCAUCAUGCUGUUGGAAAAAUAUGGGGAAUCAAAUGGGAAGAAUAUGCAUGUAGGAUGCUCCAAAGAGAUUAUUCCCUUUGUAAAGAAGCAGCUUAGGUUAUCAGCUCAUAAGCUGCUAACUUCUGAUUUCCCUAAUGAAGAUACUGAAAAUGGAUGGCAGAGUAAAGGUGAUCUUAUACCAAGGAUAUUACAAAUAUACCUCAGGAAUAGUGAGUCGACUUCAGUUCUGCUUGAUGAGCUGGCUUGCUCGGUGUUGCCUCAGGUAGCUUCGCUCAAAAGUAAAAGUACUACCCAAGAACUGUCGCAUGGGUUUCCAACAUUGUGUUCUUCCACCUUCCACUCCUGGUACCGUGUGCUGCAUGAGGAGAAUCUUGGGAAUUUUAACAAGAUGGUCAAGCAAGCCUUGAAGACUACAUCACAAUCAGGAGUAGCAGUGGAAAACGUUAUGGAUGAUAUUUUCAAAUCAGUAAAAGUGUUUGUUUCUCUGACAAAUAUAUGUAAGAUUCACGAGAAGGUUGCUAUGCAUGCAAUGGCAGUUAAAUAUGGGGGGCGAUUCAUUGAUGCAUUUCUUAAAGCCUUCAACUUUCUAGAGACGCAAUUUGGGCAACAUGGCGGCGAUAUAGUUAAAAUGAUAAAAGAACUUCAGAAAGCAACAAGAAUAAUCCAAACUAUAUGUGCAGAGGCAAAGGGUUACAAGCGAACAAUGAUCACGAGCAAGAUACCUGCCACAAAGAGAUCCAUGGAGCGGUUUCUCUUCCAAGUGAAGGCCCUCCUGGAACACUGCUCUAAUGUGGAGCGUUGCUGGAUUGGUAAUCUGAAGCACAAGGAUUUGCAUGGGCAUGUGGUAAGCUCUCAGGUGUACGGCGACGUGGAUGGCGACCCAAAUGAUGCAGAACAAGAACAGAUGGAGACUGAUCCUGAAACUCCAGCCGACGAAAAUGACAACAUCGUGGAUGAUGAUGAGACAGAAAACGAGGCAACACCAUUGGAUGAUUGA